AUAAUAACUAAGUAUAUGAUUUUGAUAAUAAAUAUAUUGAAAUUAUUUAUGUAUAUGUAUUUUUUGUCAUACUUAAGUAGUCACCUAGGUAUUUACCAAAAAAAAUAAUAUCUCCCGCAGAUGUCGAUAAUUUAGCCAGCGGGCAACGUCGAUGGAAACAGUCAUUUUACAAAAUGACGUUAGUAAAGUGUCUUUUGCUAAUUCAAAUACUUGUGCAUACCACGGUAGCUGGACGGUUGUUUAGAAAUUAUAAAAAAUAUGAUACAUCCGAAGACAUUACUACAACUGCAACACAACCCCAAUAUUACUGGCCGUGGCUUCCUGGAUACAAAUACGACGCUCCUAACUACGUUUGGCCCUUAUAUUUUACUGGAUAAUUUAUAUUUAAAGAAAUUAAAUUGUUUUAUCUCAUAUAAAAACAAGUAUAUAAAAGA